rnacentral:rRNA from 1 species
GAUGAACGCUAGCUACAGGCUUAACACAUGCAAGUCGAGGGGCAGCAUGAACUUAGCUUGCUAAGUUUGAUGGCGACCGGCGCACGGGUGAGUAACACGUAUCCAACCUGCCGAUGACUCGGGGAUAGCCUUUCGAAAGAAAGAUUAAUACCCGAUGGCAUAGUUCUUCCGCAUGGUGGAACUAUUAAAGAAUUUCGGUCAUCGAUGGGGAUGCGUUCCAUUAGGUUGUUGGCGGGGUAACGGCCCACCAAGCCUUCGAUGGAUAGGGGUUCUGAGAGGAAGGUCCCCCACAUUGGAACUGAGACACGGUCCAAACUCCUACGGGAGGCAGCAGUGAGGAAUAUUGGUCAAUGGACGAGAGUCUGAACCAGCCAAGUAGCGUGAAGGAUGACUGCCCUAUGGGUUGUAAACUUCUUUUAUACGGGAAUAAAGUGAGGCACGUGUGCCUUUUUGUAUGUACCGUAUGAAUAAGGAUCGGCA